CUGCUAUCGUGUAGCAAGGGCCCGUACCGUAAACCGACACAGGUGGAUGAGGAGAGGAUCCUAAGGCCGGCGGGAGAAGUGUUGUUAAGGAACUCGGCAAAAUGACUCCGUAACUUCGGGAGAAGGAGUGCUGCGCAAGCAGCCGCAGAGAAAUGGCCCAAGCAACUGUUUAGCAAAAACACAGGUCUAUGCGAAACCGAAAGGUGAGGUAUAUGGGCUGACGCCUGCCCGGUGCUGGAAGGUUAAGGGGAGAGCUUAGCGCAAGCGAAGGUUUAAACUUAAGCCCCAGUAAACGGCGGCCGUAACAAUAACGGUCCUAAGGUAGCGAAAUUCCUUGUCGGGUAAGUUCCAACCCGCACGAAAGGCGUAAUGAUUUGGGCACUGUCUCAACAACACACCCGGUGAAAUUGAAAUACCAGUGAAGAUGCUGGUUACCCGCGCCAGGACGGAAAGACCCCAUGGAGCUUUACUCCAGCCUGAUACUGGGAUUCGGUAUUGCAUGUACAGGAUAGGUGGGAGGCUAAGAACUCAUGGCGCCAGCCGUGAGGGAGCCGAUGUUGGGAUACCACCCCUGCAGUACUGGGUUUCUAACCUGCGCCCGUGACCCGGGCGGGGGACAAUGUCAGGCGGGGAGUUUGACUGGGGCGGUCGCCUCCGAAAGGGUAUCGGAGGCGCUCAAAGGUCUCCUCAGGAUGGUUGGAAACCAUCCAGAGAGUGCAAAGGCAGAAGGAGGCUUGACUGCGACACCGACGGGUGGAGCAGGUACGAAAGUAGGACUUAGUGAUCCGGUGGCAUAAAGUGGGAUUGCCAUCGCUCAACGGAUAAAAGCUACCCUGGGAUAACAGGCUUAUCACUCCCAAGAGUUCACAUCGACGGAGUGGUUUGGCACCUCGAUGUCGGCUCAUCGCAUCCUGGAGCUGGAACAGGUUCCAAGGGUUGGGCUGUUCGCCCAUUAAAGCGGUACGCGAGCUGGGUUCAGAACGUCGUGAGACAGUUCGGUCCCUAUCCGGCGCGGGCGCAGGAUAUCUGAGAGGAGCUGUCCUUAGUACGAGAGGACCGGGAUGGACCGUCCGCUGGUGGACCGGUUGUCAUGCCAAUGGCACGGCCGGGUAGCCAAGACGGGAAGGGAUAAACGCUGAAGGCAUCUAAGCGUGAAGCCCCCCUCAAGAUGAGAUAUCCAUACUCGAAAGAGUGAGAGACCCCUUAGAGACGAUGAGGUAGAUAGGGCAGAGAUGGAAGUGCAGCGAUGCAUGGAGUUGACUGUUACUAAUCGGUCGAAAGCUUGAAAAA
rnacentral:rRNA from 1 species